GACGAACGCUGGCGGCGUGCUUAACACAUGCAAGUCGAACGGAAAGGCCCUGCUUUUGUGGGGUGCUCGAGUGGCGAACGGGUGAGUAACACGUGAGUAACCUGCCCUUGACUUUGGGAUAACUUCAGGAAACUGGGGCUAAUACCGGAUAGGAGCUCCUGCAGCAUGGUGGUGGUUGGAAAGUUUCGGCGGUGGGGGAUGGACUAGCGGCUUAUCAGCUUGUUGGUGGGGUUGGGGAGUACACGGGCUUUGACGGGUAGCCGGCCUGGGAGGGUGACCGGCCACAUUGGGACUGCGAGACGGCCCAGACUCCUACGGUAGGCAGAAGUGGGGAAUCUUGCACAAUGGGCGGAAGCCUGAUGCAGCAACGCCGCGUGCGUGAUGACGGCCUUCGGGUUGUAAACCGCUUUCGCCUGUGACGAAGCGUGAGUGACGGUAAUGGGUAAAGAAGCACCGGCUAACUACGUG
rnacentral:rRNA from 1 species